rnacentral:lncRNA from 1 species
UGAACUUACAAAGUUGCACUUCUAUCCAAACGAAGAUUCCGCCUGCAAUCAGUCUGAUUGGUUGCGGACAGCCAAUUUCCCAUCUGCUAGGUGAUCCUGCUUUACUAAGAGUUCCAGAUUCCAAGAUGGCCCCAUACAUGCAGCCCAGGAGAAAGGAGCUGCACCAGACACACUGGGAUUUGAGCUUUAACCGUCCUACUAAAGCUUGUCAGCUGUGUGCUCCCCAAAGGAGUACUUCCCUCUCUGUAAAGAGAAAGAAUUAAAGACUCUCCUUCCAGUAAGAGGAUCACAAUGGCCUUUAGCACACACUUCUGCCCUGGCUGUGUGUGCCACUGAAGCAAAACCAACCUCCUGCCAGAGGGUGCCUGGCAAGAGGUCAGCAGCAAGAUAAGCCACUCAAGGAUUACUGGAUCCAGGUGUGGACAAGGGUAGAUCAGAAGCGAGAAGGCCAGGAAAGCAAUUCAAGAGGGCAGGAAACAUCUGGAAGGUUCAUGCCUCCCUUGAGGGCUUUGAGGGGUGGAUGUUGUCCUGUCUAGUAUCAGGAAGCAGGGCUCUAGCCAUGAGCUCCAAAGAGCUGGUACAAAACUGUUUCUGGGGCUUGAAUGGACCAAGCCCAGAGGCCAGUAUCUGAAGCCAGGGAAUAAAGUCAGAGUGGGAGAAGAAAGGGCAAUUAGACACUGAGUUGGGUUGGAAAACUACUGGGCUAGGACCGAGAUUAUAACUUAACAGUCAAAAACAACAAUAAUGGUAAACAUAAGGGGUUCAUUCUUCUAACAUUCAACAAUCUUGCUAUGCUCCAGGGGUACAGAUAAAUAAAACUAUUCCCUUAUGGCAAGGAGCUCACAGAAAGCUGGAGGAAAACAGCCCUGUAAACUCAACAUUUUAACAGAGCAACUGGAAUGCUUUAGGAUAAAGAGGCUCAAAGUACUAUGGGAGCUUCAAGGAAGGGGCCAUUAACUCUGCCUGGGAAUCCUGGGGAAGGCUGCACAGAGACAGAGAUAUUUUGAACUGUGUUUUGAAUGAUGAAUACCAGGUUCCUCUGUUGGAAAGAGAGGCAGGCAUUCCAAACAACAGAGAGAACACCAUGGGCAAAAGCAGAGCUCUGUGCAGGACGGUGGCACAUCAUCAGAGUACGGAGCAUUGGUAGGAGGGGUCCUUAGAGGAGAAGCAGAGGGACAGGAGGAGGGGAGGAGAGGAGAGAGAGGACAGGACCAAGUCAGGGAGAGUCAGCAUAGCUGGUCUGAGUGUGGACCUGACGCACAGGUGGCAAGGGACCAUUGAGAGUCUGUUGACAUUGAUUAGGCUUCUUUGGUUAUAAGCAACAGAAACAAGUUCUCACUUACUUAAACAAGAAAAAAAAAAACAUGUCAUAGAGGGAAAACAGGUGGUUCCCACACCUGUUGGAGAAUGAGGAGUGUAGGGAAGGGACUGGAAUCAGGGCUGGCCUGGACUGCAGACUGCAGGAACAGGCCACAAUGUCUUCAAGGAGCUGUUGCCCCCAGGACAAGUCAAUUUCACCCCACUCCACUGGCCAGCCACAGUCCAGGGAAGAGUCUGACACAGGGCUGGGGUCACAUGCCCGCCUCCUGGUUGGCAGUCUCACCAAGAUCAUCCACUGUGGGUGGUGCUUCCCCAAAAGGAAAUCAGGGUUCUAGAACCAGAAGGGGAUUGACGCAGGUGCUGCCAGAGCUUGAUACUUGUGUGCCUCUAGUGUUUAAGCCAGAAAAUGACAAACACACAGUGCAGGGAUCAGCUAACUUUUCCUGUAAAUGGCCAGAGAGUAAAUAUUUUCAGCCUUGUGGAUCAUAUGGUCUCUAAGGCAGCUACUCAACUUGGCUGUUAUAGCCCAAAGCAGACAGACCACACGUAGACCAAUGUCUUUACUGCUUGCCAGGAAAGCUGUAUUAAUAAAAACAUAUAGUGGGCCCGAUUGACCCCUGGUUUAGAGCCAUAUUAGGGCAUAAGAGAAAUACAGAAGGUUAGGAAACUGAAAGGAAAGAGACCAAACCAGAAACUGGUCUGUCUAUAAAACCACGUCCUGGCCAGGCGCGGUGGGUCACGCCUGUAAUCCCAGCACUUUGGGAGACCAAGGUGGGCAGAUUGCCUGAGCUCAGGAGUUCAAGACCAGCCUGGGCAACAUGGUGAAUCCCCAACUCUACUAAAAUACAAAAAAAUUAGCCAGGCAUGGUGGCAUGCACCUUUAGUCCCAACUACUUGGGAGGCUGAGGCAGGGGAAAUGCUUGAACCCAGGAGGCGGAGGUUGCAGCAGUGAGCCAAGAUCGCGCCACUGUGCUCCAGCCUGGGUGACAGAGUGAGUGAGACUCCGUCUCAAAAAAAAAAAAAAAGCCAACAAAAAAACACAUCCUAUGGGCUGUCAUGCUAAGUGCGUCCUAUGGGGAAAAAAUUCUCUACAUUUUUCCUCUUUGGGACACUCCCAGGCAAAGCAUCCCUUUUACAAACUUCCUUUUCACAAGCAUUAAGUUCUGUUUCUUCAUGCAUUCAACUUGUUUCUUAAUUGUUUGUUUCUGAAGUGGGUUCUAUUUGUUUGGUGUGUUUUGUAAGCCUUUCAUUCUGGCAAAGGUAGCCACAGUUCUCCUCAGCAGGAUACCAGGCACGUAUUGACUGUUUUUUGAAAAAAUUGCACUGUAACCACAGGUUUCCUGGUGUGGUACACCUGUAUUUAUUGGAGUCAAUUUUUAGAAAUACAACAAUACAACUGCUUCCACACUUUCCGGGUUGCUGUUUCACUCACUGCUUGCAACCCUCAGAGCCUUUCUCCAUACUGCUCUAAGACAUGACAGCUUGGGCAAGAAGUGGCUGGAACGUGGAGAUGGCGCGCACAACCGUGGCCAGGCAAAAGCCUAGCCCUCUUUUGUAAUCACCUCUUCGGUGUGAGGCAAUAUGCUGUGAAUUAGUGUGUUCCAGGCCCAGAGUGGUAACAUAUGGUGUAUCUCUGCUCAUUCUACAUUAAAUCCUGACAUUUUGCAGCUGUCAAGAUAAAGCUGUUUAUAUGAGUAACAUUGUAGUUUGUUUAUAG